UAUGGAAGCUCCAAGCCCUUUCCCCAUACCUUACCCUUUGUAUCCAUUUGGCUGUUCCCGAGUUAUAUCCUUGUAUGUGAUAAGCUGGUGAGCUAGUAAUUAAAUGGUUCUCUGAGUUCUGUGGGCUGCUCUAGGAAAUUAAUCAACCCCAAGUCAGAGUUCUUGGAACCCCCAACCUAUAGCUGGUCGGCGGGUCAAAGGUGAUGAGGGAUAGAAGCAGAAACAUGUUCCCCUUUAGCCCAGAAGGCUGACCUAUAUAAACCUGCACGGUUCUGAUUAGGAUCAAAUAUGUGCCGGGUGCUAUGUUCUUGAAGGGCCUCAUGACUGCCUGUCUAGGUCACCGAUAGCUGAUAUUGAACUGAAUGAUAAGCACCAGAGAAAUCUUGAGAAAAGGGUUUUAUGGGCAGAAAUCCGAAGAAAACAUUGGUGAUCUAAUACCCGCUGCGUGUCCCCUCUCCUUUGAGCACUAAAGCUCUGACGUCCAGCUCCAUACAGCAAAAGUGCCGCCCUCCUGCUCAAGAACUCUCUCUUCCUUUCUUGGCUGUUGUGCUGGAUGCCCCGGCGACAGAAGCACAGGCAGCUUCUCUGACUGCAAGGUCAACGGGGAAGCCAAUGAAACCAAAGAGCAGGUGUGGGAUAAUGAAAGAACAUCGCACAUUCUGAGCCAUUCGAGUCACACAGCCUCAGAGAGGGAUCGACGACCUCGCAUUUUGCGCCGAUACCCAGAGAGGGGGUUGUGACUUGCCUGGAGCCACACAGCAAGAACACAUCGGUUACAACUCACCUUUGUACCUGGAGUCUUUCUGGAAGGGAGGAAAUGCCAGAUGAAUAUGGGAAAUCAAGCUGAGGCAAAGAAGCCACGGGGUUCAAUAUAAUACAGGCCAUUAAAGUAGCAAAAAAAAUGUCUAUGUACCUUCUGGCUCUUAAAUAUUCACUAUGGGAGGAUAGCACUCCAUCCAGCUAUUUGCCACCAUCCCUUUUCUUUUUUAGAGACAUAAAUUCCAAAUUCCAUCUUUUAGACAACAA